rnacentral:rRNA from 1 species
AAUGAAAUACCGGUUCUCGUUAGAUCACCGAAGUCAAGCAUCAUUGGGCGCGGUCAGUACUUGGGUGGGUGACCACCUGGGAACACCGCGUGCCGUU